rnacentral:lncRNA from 1 species
GAUGCUUGAUGUCCUUAUGCCUGAUGCAUGUAUCAUGUCACAUACACAUAAUUAACUUUGACAUAGUUGCUCUGUUACAGCAGAUGGCAAGAUGAAUAGCUAGUGUCUGUUUAAUUCCAUCAUGCACCUGGUAGUUUAAUAGGUACUAUUGAUUGAAUAUGAAUGUUAUUCCAUAUACUCAACUGGAACUUCAAUCUGCUGUAACUUUGAAUGAUGGUUUUUAAACCUUGUCGUGUAUGUGAAACAUUCCAUGCUCGUUUGCUGCUAAGUUUGUCAUAUGUGCCAAUUCAAUUCCCAAUUUUGAUCAAUAGCCAUAUUCUGGAUAAGUAGAAUGAUCUGGUUAAUAAUAAUAAUAAGUAGAAUGAUAAUAUACUGGUGUAUCUUUACCUUUUAUUUUAAAAGUACUCUGUAUUCUAUCAGUGACAUACCUUUUGUUCUCUUUUGAAUGCUCAGAUGUUUUGCAUCAGCCUGUCAUUGCUUGCUAAGGGAGAAGCGGGACUUGGAGAAGAAAUCUUUCCAUUAAGCAGAUUACAUGUUUGGUUGCUGUGAAGUACCAGAUAGGCUAGUUCUAUUUUUUUCACGAUCCUGGAGUAUUUCAGCAGCGCCAUGCAAAUGCAGUAGCGUUAGGUUUCUGAUUCACCUUUUGUAAAAACUUAGUUAGCCCGCAGUCAGUCAGUAGUAGCUCAGCCAGCCAGCCAGCCUCAAAUAGUAUUGCUGGAAUGAAUGGUUGUAAUAUAAUAACAUUGCACGUUGCUUUGAAAAUGUAUCAGAACUGGGCUAGGCCCAAG